rnacentral:rRNA from 1 species
CCUACGGGCGACAGCAGUGAGGAAUAUUGGUCAAUGGCGGGAAGGCUGAACCAGCCAAGCCGCGUGAAGGACGAAGGUGCCAAGCAUUGUAAACUUCUUUUGUCAAGGGACAAAAUCAGGCUCGAGAGCCUGAACGAGGGGACUUGAAGAAAAAGCAUCGGCUAACUCCGUGCCAGCAGCCGCGGCAAUACGGAGGAUGCGAGGGUUAUCCGGUUUUAUUGGGUUAAAGGGGUGCGUAGGCGGGCUGUUAAGUCAGCGGGAAAAGCCCGGGGCUCAACCCCGGCGAGUCGUUGAAACUGGCUGUCUUGAGAUGUCGAGGGGUAUGCGGAAUGCGCAGUGUAGCGGUGAAAUGCUUAGAUAUUGCGCAGAACACCGAUGGCGAAGGCAGCAUACCGGCGGCGAUCUGACGCUGAGGCACGAAAGCGUGGGUAUCGAACAGGAUUAGAUACCCGAGUAGUC